AUGAACGCUGGCGGCGUGCCUAAUACCUGCCAGUCGAGCGAACAGACGAGGAGCUUGCUCCUCUGACGUUAGCGGCGGACGGGUGAGUAACACGUGGAUAACCUACCUAUAAGACUGGGAUAACUUCGGGAAACCGGAGCUAAUACCGGAUAAUAUAUUGAACCGCAUGGUUCAAUAGUGAAAGACGGUUUUGCUGUCACUUAUAGAUGGAUCCGCGCCGCAUUAGCUAGUUGGUAAGGUAACGGCUUACCAAGGCAACGAUGCGUAGCCGACCUGAGAGGGUGAUCGGCCACACUGGAACUGAGACACGGUCCAGACGCCUACGGGAGGCAGCAGUAGGGAAUCUUCCGCAAUGGGCGAAAGCUUGACGGAGCAACGCCGCGUGAGUGAUGAAGGUCUUCGGAUCGUAAAACUCUGUUAUUAGGGAAGAACAAAUGUGUAAGUAACUAUGCACGUCUUGACGGUACCUAAUCAGAAAGCCACGGCUAACUACGUG
rnacentral:rRNA from 1 species